rnacentral:lncRNA from 1 species
CUAGGUGUAAGGUCACUUACAGAUGGAGAAAGUCUCUCUCUCUUGAAAAUGUCAGACAGGAAGAGGGUUGUGAUUUGGUGGCCGGCUCUAUGAGACAUACUUGUGUACAGCUGGCCACUGGAAAGAGGGUAGGCGGCAGUUACAAACGCUCCUCUUAACUCACUGACAGCCUCUGGCACUACUCUGAGUGAGAGAGGGCAAGCGAGAGAGAGACAUUUCGGAGCAUAGAGGGGGAACUUGUUCAGUGGUGGACUUUUAUCAUGCUGAACUGACCAGCCAGCGUCUUCCCUCUGGAAUACUCUACCAAACAACUGCUAGGACGAGACUCGCAACACAGGGAUCAUUUCACUGCAAGACGCCAAAAUGCUCAGCUUUGAGCGGCCCCCUCCAUUAGCAGUGAUGCAUCCUGGGAGAGAACCUCCCUCUGUGGCCAUCCUGCCUCUAAGAAACUCCCACCAACAGCAGCUGCAUCACAGGAGGAGAACCAAGAGGAUGGAGAGGGGCAAAGCAGGACUGCGCUCCAAGAAACUGGCCAUCCUGUCUCGGUCGCUCAUCAUCUGCAGCUCCAGCACCAAUGAGGACGCGUCCAGUCCAGAAGAGAGGUACCGUGAGCCCUGGGACAGUGGGCUGGAGGAGACACACCGCAGGGACCCGCUGGAAGGGUCCAUGGGAAAUUCAGAAAAAUACAUGACGAGGAGCGUCAGCAUCCAGCCGCCUCAGAGGGGCCAGGAGGACCCCAAAAGAACUAUGAGGAGGUCCUUCUCCAUCAAGGAAAGCAGUUUCUGGAGAAUGUGUGUCGCCUCGCGGGAGGAGGGUCUGCAAGCGGGUGAUAACAAACUUCAGUCCAGCAACAAUGGUGCGUCUGUUGGACAAGACUUACACAGGGACACUUACAUCUACUUUGGAGACAGACUUGCCCCAUUUAACGGACAGAUUAUAAAUGAUCAAACAAAACCGGAGGCUGAUCCAGAGAAAAGGCCCGUGCUGAAGACUGAAGUAAGACUUUAUCAGCUGUUUGUCCAUUACAAACAUCAAAACA